GACGGAGGAUGCAAGCGUUAUCCGGAAUGAUUGGGCGUAAAGCGUCCGCAGGUGGCAGUUCAAGUCUGCUGUCAAAGACCGGGGCUUAACUUCGGAAAGGCAGUGGAAACUGAACAGCUAGAGUAUGGUAGGGGCAGAGGGAAUUCCUGGUGUAGCGGUGAAAUGCGUAGAGAUCAGGAAGAACAUCGGUGGCGAAGGCAGCCCCCUGGGUCAAGAUUGACGCUCAUGCACGAAAGCGUGGGGAGCAAACAGG
rnacentral:rRNA from 1 species